AGAAACGAUUACUAAUAAUUAUUCACGAGCAAACAUAUAAGAAUGGGAGAGAAGCAAAUUGUUUAGGUAUGGGAAAGAAUACAUAUCAGGGCAACAAACAUGUAUAUUAUCACAGAAAUUUAAACCACAAUCACUAGUUCAUAUUACACACAAUUCUCAACAGAAAAGACUCAAUAGUUAACAAGAUCUCACACUGACAUUUAAACAAACAGCUUAUAGGCGCACAAAAUCAACAUAAGUUCUCAAUGUUCAGUUCACACAAACAGCAAGCAACAGGGAGAAAAGGGAGAGAGAUUUAGAUGGGGAUUAACUCAGGAAAUGGGGCAGCAAGGAGUUGAGGAAGGGAAGAGGUUGCAGUGGCGCUCGUGCUCGCCGGAGGCGCUUGUUCUUCACUUGCUGCAGCAGCUUGAGGGAACGAGGAGGAGCAGCAGCAGAUUGGAGACGAGGAGGAGGUGCAGCAGCUUGGAGACGAGGAGGAGCAGCAGUAGUGGAUCGGGAGCAUGGGCAGCAGCAGGUUCGGUGGCUCGCCGCCACGCCGGCCUGGCCGCGGCGGCGGCCGAUGGUGGAGCAGGAGGUUAGGGGAAAGGGAGAGAGGUGCCAGGCUCGAUUUGGGCACAGGAGAGGUGCUAAGAUUUAACCCCCUUUGGCAUUUUUGCAUCCAGACCC
rnacentral:lncRNA from 1 species